UACGUAGGGUGCAAGCGUUAAUCGGAAUACUGGGCGUAAAGCGUGCGCAGGCGGUGAUGUAAGACAGUUGUGAAAUCCCCGGGCUCAACCUGGGAACUGCAUCUGUGACUGCAUUGCUGGAGUGCGGCAGAGGGGGAUGGAAUUCCGCGUGUAGCAGUGAAAUGCGUAGAUAUGCGGAGGAACACCGAUGGCGAAGGCAAUCCCCUGGGCCUGCACUGACGCUCAUGCACGAAAGCGUGGGGAGC
rnacentral:rRNA from 1 species